CUUAAAUUGAAGAGUUUGAUCAUGGCUCAGAUUGAACGCUGGCGGCAGGCCUAACACAUGCAAGUCGAGCGGAAACGACA
rnacentral:rRNA from 7 species